AAACGUAACGAAAUAUGAACAAAAUCCGUAAACGUCCGAACAGCUUUCCUCGCGAGAAUUCAGCGAGACCAACAUGUUACAGGCGAAAAUCGAGAGAGAAAUUCAACAUGAAAAAAGAGGUAAAACUUUAUGUUAUCUCGAUUUAUAAAUUUUUUAAAUUGCAAAAAGUUGAAAAACAAACGUUUCUUUACCUGAAAAGUGAAAGUAGGUUUGCAGUUUCUUAUUUUGUCAAGUGCUAUUGCACUUUAAAGUGUCAAAACAGCACCUCUCGAUUUUGUAAACAUGUUUCCACGUGGAAGGGAGUAGUUGUGAUGAUCAUGAUUAACCCACAUACAUUGAUUUAGUGAACAAAAACACUCGUACAGCUGUAGAGUACAUUUUGAACAGCCAUCUCCAGGAUAUACUCUGAAGACAGUGAUGUGCUAGUUCAAGGUUUGCCUGUUCAGAUACUUUCAUAAUAAAGAAUGGGUGAAAAAAUUCUCACAUUAUCAUGCUGCCUAAUAGUAC